rnacentral:rRNA from 1 species
UACGGAGGGUGCGAGCGUUGUCCGGAAUCACUGGGCGUAAAGGGCGCGUAGGUGGCGCGGCAAGUCAACGGUGAAAGCUCGACGCUCAACGUCGAGUCGGCCGUCGAUACUGCCGCGCUGGAGCACUGUAGAGGCUCAUGGAAUUCCGGGUGUAGCGGUGGAAUGCGUAGAGAUCCGGAAGAACACCGGUGGCGAAGGCGGUGAGCUGGGCAGCUGCUGACACUGAGGCGCGACAGCGUGGGGAGCAAACAGG